UCCCCAGACUCCUACGGGAGGCAGCAGUGGGGAAUAUUGCACAAUGGGGGGAACCCUGAUGCAGCGACGCCGCGUGGGUGAAGGAGUACCUCGGUACGUAAAGCCCUAUCAGCAGGAAAGAAAAUGACGGUACCUGACUAAGAAGCCCCGGCUAACUACGUGCCAGCAGCCGCGGUAAUACGUAGGGGGCAAGCGUUAUCCGGAUUUACUGGGUGUAAAGGGAGCGUAGACGGCAGUGCAAGUCCGGAGUGAAAGCCCGGGGCUCAACCCUGGGACUGCUCUGGAAACUGUAAAGCUGGAGUGCGGGAGGGGCAGGCGGAAUUCCUGGUGUAGCGGUGAAAUGCGUAGAUAUCAGGAGGGACACCGGCGGCGAAGGCGGCCUGCUGGACCGUAACUGACGUUGAGGCUCGAAAGCGUGGGGAGCAAACAGGAUUAGAUACCCUCGUA
rnacentral:rRNA from 1 species